rnacentral:rRNA from 1 species
UACGUAGGGUGCAAGCGUUGUCCGGAAUUAUUGGGCGUAAAGAGCUUGUAGGCGGUUUGUCGCGUCUGCUGUGAAAAUCCGGGGCUCAACCCCGGACUUGCAGUGGGUACGGGCAGGCUUGAGUGUGGUAGGGGAGACUGGAAUUCCUGGUGUAGCGGUGGAAUGCGCAGAUAUCAGGAGGAACACCGAUGGCGAAGGCAGGUCUCUGGGCCACUACUGACGCUGAGAAGCGAAAGCAUGGGGAGCGAACAGG